rnacentral:rRNA from 1 species
UGCGUAGGGUGCAAGCGUUGUCCGGAAUUAUUGGGCGUAAAGAGCUCGUAGGCGGCUUGUCACGUCGAUUGUGAAAGCCCGAGGCUUAACCUCGAGUCUGCAGUCGAUACGGGCUAGCUAGAGUGUGGUAGGGGAGAUCGGAAUUCCUGGUGUAGCGGUGAAAUGCGCAGAUAUCGGGAGGAACACCAGUAGCGAAGGCGGCACUCUGGGCCGGUACUGACGCUGAGGAGCGAAAGCGUGGGGAGCAAACAGG